GCCAGAUAUCUGGUAAAUAAUUUCAUACACAUCAUCUCAUGAAGCCCUCACAACAGCCCUGUGAGGUAAGUGCCAUUGUUAUCCUCAUUUUAUAGAUGGGGAAGCUGAUACUCAGAAAACUAACAUGACUUGACAAAGUCAACCAGCUAGAAAACAUUAGAGCUAAAAUGUAAAACCAGCUCUUCUGAUUCCAAGGUCAAGGACUUAAAUUUAGAAAAUGGAAAGUCUCAAGUGAUUUCCUACUCUUCCUUCUCUCUCUGAGACUGUCACUCAGGUUUGGGUCAGGUUUGGGGACAUUUAGGGACUGAGGUCCAUAUACUGAAUUAAUGUUGUAGCAAAGGCUUGAGCAAUUAUUUGGUAAAUGCAACUCAGAUUUAUUCUGACUUCCCAAAAUGUACCACCAGGAGUGUCAGGCAACUCUCACAGUCCAAUUUCAACAAGCAGUUAUUCCAAUGUAUUUUUGACUAUGUAGACAACAGGUUCCUAACCAGGGUCUACAGAUUCCUUAGGGAUCCUCAGAGACUUCAAGAGAUUAGUGAGCCUCUUGAAACCAUGUUACAUUUUGUGGGUGGGAGAAAAUAUGAAUUUUUCAGAGGAGACGGUUCAUCUUUUUCAUUAAAUUCUCAAAGAGGUCUCCAGUGCACACAAGAUUAAAAAUAAUUAAUCUAGGUUUUAUCCAACAAGGUUUUGUUUUUAAAUUUUCCACCUAUGGCUUAAGGAGAGAACCAGAUAUGAGCAAGGAAUCAGGAAAUAAUAAUAACACUAAUACUUCAGUAAUUACUUUUUUCCUUUGUGCUGAUGGAGACAUAGAUCUGGCUUUGGUGAAACCAAAAAAAAAAAAAGAAACUCCAAUGAUUUGUACUGAGACCAAGAGGAUGCAUCUGUUUCCUGAAUAAACCAGUUCAAAUGAGCACCGCAUCAAAAGCUGCCUGUGCUGACUAUUUGCUUCCAAAGAAAGAUGAGCCUGCAACGUUCAAAGGGGAAAAAGAAGAGUGAGCUUGAGCAAGGGGAGAGAGAAAAUCUCUAGUUUGGCUUGGCACCAUUGGAUUUCCUCACAUGGUGCUGAAGAUCACUUAUAACAGGUUCACUCUGGCCACAUGUUGCAAAGAGGUUGAAAGAAGGCAUGGGUGGAAGCAGAAGGCUCUUGCAACAACUAAGUUUCUGCUAGGAACUUCCCCCUUUCCCUCUGGGAUUCCAUCUUUAGCUUUCUGUCACCACUCUCUGGCUUUGUACCCUAUGAAUCACUUCCUUCGGGUCACUUGAAUUUUUCUCCUGUAGGAGAAGCUAAUCUUCUUUAACAACUGAGUUAAAAAGACCUUCCUAUCCCCCCUACGAGGGACCCAACUCCCAGGGUUGUAAAUCUCCCUGGCAACGCAGAGUAUGACUCCCGGGGAUGAAUGUGGACCCGGCAUCGUGGGACUGAGAGUAUCUUCUUGACCAAA